rnacentral:misc_RNA from 1 species
GUGGACUACACGGGUUUCUAAUCCUGUUCGAUCCCCACGCUUUCGUGCAUCAGCGUCAAUCCAUUAGUAGUAACCUGCCUUCGCAAUUGGUAUUCCAUGUAAUCUCUAAGCAUUUCACCGCUACACUACAUAUUCUAGUUACUUCCUAAUAAUUCAAGUCUUGCAGUAUCAAUGGCCGUUCCACCGUUGAGCGAUGGGCUUUCACCACUGACUUACAAAACCGCCUACGGACCCUUUAAACCCAAUGAUUCCGGAUAACGCUUGGAUCCUCCGUAUUACCGCGGCUGCUGACAC